rnacentral:rRNA from 1 species
GUCUUUUAGAUUAUAAUUUAAAGUCUAACCUGCCCACUGAAAUUAUUUGAAGGGCCGCGGUAUUUUGACUGUGCAAAGGUAGCAUAAUCAUUAGUCUUUUAAUUGGAGGCUUGUAUGAAUGGUUGGAUGAAACAUUAACUGUCUCAAUUUAAAAAAAGUAGAAUUUAAUUUUUAAGUUAAAAAGCUUAAAUAAAAUUAGAGGACGAGAAGACCCUAUAGAUCUUUAUAAUUAAUAUUUUAUUAUUAAUGUAGAAAAUUAAUUUAUAUUAAUUUAUUAAUUAUUUUAUUGGGGUGAUAGAUAAAUUUAGUAAACUUUAUUUAAUAUAAACAUUAAUUUAUGAAUAUUUGAUCCAUUAAUAGUGAUUAUAAGAUUAAGUUACCUUAGGGAUAACAGCGUAAUUUUUUUAGAGAGUUCAUAUCGAUAAAAAAGUUUGCGACCUCGAUGUUGAAUUAAAGGUUAAUUUUACGUGUAGAAGUUUAAAAUUUUGGUCUGUUCGACCAUUAAAUC